UCAUCACCCUGUGACAUACCUAUAACGUUGCCUCGGCGGGAACAGACGGCCCCGUAACACGGGCCGCCCCCGCCAGAGGACCCCCUAACUCUGUUUCUAUAAUGUUUCUUCUGAGUAAACAAGCAAAUAAAUUAAAACUUUCAACAACGGAUCUCUUGGCUCUGGCAUCGAUGAAGAACGCAGCGAAAUGCGAUAAGUAAUGUGAAUUGCAGAAUUCAGUGAAUCAUCGAAUCUUUGAACGCACAUUGCGCCCGCCAGUAUUCUGGCGGGCAUGCCUGUUCGAGCGUCAUUACAACCCUCAGGCCCCCGGGCCUGGCGUUGGGGAUCGGCGGAAGCCCCCUGCGGGCACAACGCCGUCCCCCAAAUACAGUGGCGGUCCCGCCGCAGCUUCCAUUGCGUAGUAGCUAACACCUCGCAACUGGAGAGCGGCGCGGCCACGCCGUAAAACACCCAACUUCUGAAUGUUGACCUCGAAUCAGGUAGGAAUACCCGCUGAACUUAAGCAUAUCAAUAAGCGGAGGA
rnacentral:rRNA from 1 species